GACGCGCGAUGAAGGCGAUGAAUUAAUGCGUAUGAAUUAAUGAUGCGCGUCGACCGCGCGCGCGACGGACGCGCGCGCGCGUCGUCGCCGAUCUCGAUUGAACUAUUUAUUGGAUGAUGGCGACGGCGUCGAUCUCCACGAGCGCGCCGAGCGGAAGCGUCUUCGCCGCCAACGUCGCGCGCGCGGGGGCGUUUUCGGGGAACCUCGAGCCGUAAAUACCGUUCACCGUCUUGAAAUCGUCCAUGUCGGCGAUCAUGAUGGUGGUCUUGACGACGUCGGCGUACGUCGCGCCCGCCGCCGCGAGCACCUCGCCCAAGUUCUUCAUCACUUGCUCCGUUUGCUCCUCGAUCGUUUCGCCGGCGAACUCCAUGGCGGGCGUCAGGCCGAUUUGACCGCUGACGUACACCGUGUUGCCGACCUUGACGGCUUGGUUGUACGGGCCGAGGGCGGCCGGGGACUUAUCGGUGGCGAUGAUUUCUUUCGCCGUGGCGCGGACGGAAACGGCGCCGGCGCGUCGCGCGCUGCGCGCGCGGGUGAUUUGCGCCACCACGGGGGUGGCGCGGAAGGUCUUGGAUGCGGUGAGGGCGAAUGCGGACAUCGUGUGCGUGAGCGUGCGUG
rnacentral:lncRNA from 1 species